rnacentral:rRNA from 1 species
GAGAGUUCUACCAUUGAACUGAAUGACUCCUUUGAUGAGACCAGCAUGCGUUUUGUGCGGCGCAUCCAGGAGUCUGAGGUGAAGGAGGCUUUAAAAAGGAUGAAAGGAGGCAAGGCGAUGGGCCCUGAUUGUAUCCCCAUUGAGGUGUGGAAAGGUCUCGGGGACAUAGCGAUAGUAUGGCUAACCAAGCUUUUCAACCUCAUUUUUCGGGCAAACAAGAUGCCAGAAGAAUGGAGACGGAGUAUAUUAGUACCAAUCUUCAAGAACAAGGGGGAUGUUCAGAGUUGUACUAAUUACCGUGGAAUUAGGCUGAUGAGCCAUACAAUGAAGCUAUGGGAGAGAGUCAUUGAGCACCUCUUAAGAAGAAUGACAAGCGUGGCCAAAAAUCAGUUUGGUUUCAUGCCUGGGAGGUCGACCAUGGAAGCCAUUUUCUUGGUACGACAACUUAUGGAGAGAUAUAGGGAGCAUAAGAAGGACUUGCAUAUGGUGUUCAUUGACUUGGAGAAGGCCUAUGAUAAGAUACCG